rnacentral:sRNA from 1 species
AGGGCCCCCUGCUCAGCCCCCUGGCCCGCCCAACGCCUCUAGUAACCCCGACCUCAGGAGGAGCGACCCUGGCUGGGAACGCUCGGACAGCGUCCUUCCGGCCUCUCACGGGCACCUCCCCCAGGCUGGCUCACUGGAGCGGAACUGCGUGGGAGCCUCCUCCAAACUGGACAGCUCCCCAGUGCUCUCCCCUGGGAAUAAAGCCAAGCCCGAUGACCACCGCUCACGGCCAGGCCGGCCCGCAGUGAGUCGCCUGGUGGCAGCGUGGCCUGCCUCAUCCUGGUUUGGGGCUUAGCCCCAGGGUGCUGGGUGUCAGGGGUGGGGUCUCCGCUGAUCUACUGAGAAGGGCUGUGGGGAUGGAGGGACUGGUGCUUCUCAUGGUACUAACCUUUUCUAACCUCUCUCCUAACCUCUGUCCUGGCCCUUUCUUCCCCUGCGGCCCCUCCCAGAGCUAUAAGCGAGCAAUUGGUGAGGUUAGUGAGAUGGGCCUGCUUGUGGGAGCCCCUCCUGUCACCUGCUGGGGUGUCCCGGCACCCUUUGUUUACCUCCACCCAGGCCCACCUUCUCGCUGCCCCUCACGGGGCUCCUCCCUGCAGGACUUCGUGUUGCUGAAGGAGCGGACCCUGGACGAGGCCCCUCGGCCUCCCAAGAAGGCCAUGGACUACUCAUCGUCCAGCGAGGAGGUGGAAAGCAGUGAGGAGGACGAGGAGGAAGGCGAAGGCGGGCCAGCAGAGGGGAGCAGAGACACCCCUGGGGGCCGGUACGGCAUCGGGAGUGGGGCCCUCCCACUCCAAGGCACAGGGAGGGAGGGGA